GAUGAACGCUGGCGGCGUGCCUAACACAUGCAAGUCGAGCGGGAUUUUCCGGAUUGAAGCUUCGGUAGAUUGAAGGAAAUGAGAGCGGCGGACGGGUGAGUAACGCGUAGGCAACCUGCUCUUUGCAGAGGGAUAGCCAUUGGAAACGAUGAUUAAAACCUCAUAAUGCCACGAAGUGACAUCGCUUUGUGGCCAAAGAUUUAUCGGCAAAGGAUGGGCCUGCGUCUGAUUAGCUAGUUGGUGGGGUAACGGCUCACCAAGGCGACGAUCAGUAGCCGACCUGAGAGGGUGAUCGGCCACAUUGGAACUGAGAAACGGUCCAAACUCCUACGGGAGGCAGCAGUGGGGAAUAUUGGGCAAUGGGCGCAAGCCUGACCCAGCAACGCCGCGUGAAGGAAGAAGGUCUUCGGAUCGUAAACUUCUAUCCCUUUGGUGAAAGGAUAAUGACGGUAGCCGAGAAGGAAGCCCCGGCUAACUACGUGCCAGCAGCGC
rnacentral:rRNA from 1 species